rnacentral:rRNA from 1 species
UACGUAGGGUGCGAGCGUUAAUCGGAAUUACUGGGCGUAAAGCGUGCGCAGGCGGUUCGCCAAGUCAGGUGUGAAAUCCCCGGGCUUAACCUGGGACUUGCGCUUGAAACUAGCGGGCUUGAGUGUGGCAGAGGGGGGUGGAAUUCCACGUGUAGCAGUGAAAUGCGUAGAGAUGUGGAGGAACACCGAUGGCGAAGGCAGCCCCCUGGGUCAACACUGACGCUCAUGCACGAAAGCGUGGGUAGCAAACAGG